AGUGAACGCUGGCGGUAGGCCUAACACAUGCAAGUCGAACGGCAGCACAGUAAGAGCUUGCUCUUACGGGUGGCGAGUGGCGGACGGGUGAGGAAUACAUCGGAAUCUACUUUUUCGUGGGGGAUAACGUAGGGAAACUUACGCUAAUACCGCAUACGACCUACGGGUGAAAGCAGGGGAUCUUCGGACCUUGCGCGAUUGAAUGAGCCGAUGUCGGAUUAGCUAGUUGGCGGGGUAAAGGCCCACCAAGGCGACGAUCCGUAGCUGGUCUGAGAGGAUGAUCAGCCACACUGGAACUGAGACACGGUCCAGACUCCUACGGGAGGCAGCAGUGGGGAAUAUUGGACAAUGGGCGCAAGCCUGAUCCAGCCAUACCGCGUGGGUGAAGAAGGCCUUCGGGUUGUAAAGCCCUUUUGUUGGGAAAGAAAAGCAGUAGGUUAAUACCCCGCUGUUCUGACGGUACCCAAAGAAUAAGCACCGGUUAACUUCGUG
rnacentral:rRNA from 1 species